rnacentral:rRNA from 1 species
CAUGCAAGUCGAACGGAAACCUUCGGGUUUUAGUGGCGAACGGGUGAGUAACACGUAAGCAACCUACCCUAAAGACGAGGAUAACCAUUGGAAACAGUGGCUAAGACUGGAUAGGAAGAUAAAAGGCAUCUUGUAUCUUUUAAAAGACCUAGUUAAUAGGUAUGCUUUAGGAGGGGCUUGCGCCAUAUUAGUUAGUUGGUAGGGUAAUGGCCUACCAAGACGAUGAUGUGUAGCUGGACUGAGAGGUUGAACAGCCGCAUUGGGACUGAGACACGGCCCAAACUCCUACGGGAGGCAGCAGUAGGGAAUUUUCGGCAAUGGAGGAAACUCUGACCGAGCAACGCCGCGUGAAUGACGAAGUACUUCGGUAUGUAAAGUUCUUUUAUCGAGGAAGAAAAGCAAAUGGCGAACCAUUUGUUUGCCGGUACUUGAUGAAUAAGCCCCGGAUAAUUAUGUGCCAGCAGCCGCGGUAAGACAUAAGGGGCAAGUGUUAUCCGGAAUUAUUGGGCGUAAAGGGUGCGUAGGCGGUCUAGUAAGUCAGUGGCGUAAUGGCAACGCUUAACGUUGUCCGGCUAUUGAAACUGCUAAACUUGAGUUAGAUAGAGGCGAGUGGAAUUCCAUGUGUAGCGGUAAAAUGCGUAAAUAUAUGGAGGAACACCAGAGGCGUAGGCGGCUCGCUGGGUCUUAACUGACGCUGAGGCACGAAAGCGUGGGGAGCAAACAGGAUUAGAUACCCUGGUAGUCCACGCCGUAAACGAUGAGUACUAAGUGUCGGGUUAAACCGGUACUGAAGUUAACACAUUAAGUACUCCGCCUGAGUAGUACGUACGCAAGUAUGAAACUUAAAGGAAUUGACGGGACUCCGCACAAGCGGUGGAUCAUGUUGUUUAAUUCGAAGAUACCCGAAAAACCUUACCAGGUCUUGACAUGUUUUUGCAAAAUGAUAGUAAUAUCGUGGAGGUUACCAGAAACACAGGUGGUGCAUGGUUGUCGUCAGCUCGUGUCGUGAGAUGUUAGGUUAAGUCCUAAAACGAGCGAAACCCUUAUCGUUAGUUGCCAGCACGUUAUGGUGGGGACUUUAACGAGACUGCCAAUGAUAAAUUGGAGGAAGGUGAGGAUCACGUCAAAUCAGCAUGCCCCUUAUGACCUGGGCUACAAACGUGAUACAAUGGCUGUUACAAAGGGUAGCUGAAACGCAAGUUCUUGGCCAAUCCCCAAAAACAGUCCCAGUCCGGAUUGAAGUCUGCAACUCGACUUCAUGAAGUUGGAAUCGCUAGUAAUCGCGAAUCAGCAUGUCGCGGUGAAUACGUUCUCGGGGUUUGUACACACCGCCCGUCAAACCACGAAAGUUGGCAAUACCCCAAAACGGUAGCCUAACUCGUUUAUUCGAGAGGGCGCCGUCUAAGGUAGGGUCGAUGAUUGGGGUUAAG